rnacentral:rRNA from 1 species
GACGAACCGUGCGAACGUUGUUCGGAAUCACUGGGCUUAAAGGGCGCGUAGGCGGCUUGCCAAGUCAGGGGUGAAAUCUUGCGGCUUAACCGUAAUAAGCCUUUGAUACUGGCAGGCUCGAGGGAGGUAGGGGCAUGUGGAACUUCUGGUGGAGCGGUGAAAUGCGUUGAUAUCAGAAGGAACGCCGGUGGCGAAAGCGACGUGCUGGAUCUCUUCUGACGCUGAGGCGCGAAAGCUAGGGUAGCGAACGGG